rnacentral:rRNA from 1 species
UGGGGAAUUUUGGACAAUGGGGGCAACCCUGAUCCAGCAAUGCCGCGUGAGUGAAGAAGGCCUUCGGGUUGUAAAGCUCUUUUGUCAGGGAAGAAACGGUAGUAGCGAAUAACUAUUACUAAUGACGGUACCUGAAGAAUAAGCACCGGCUAACUACGUGCCAGCAGCCGCGGUAAUACGUAGGGUGCAAGCGUUAAUCGGAAUUACUGGGCGUAAAGCGUGCGCAGGCGGUUGUGUAAGUCAGAUGUGAAAUCCCCGGGCUCAACCUGGGAAUUGCAUUUGAGACUGCACGGCUAGAGUGUGUCAGAGGAGGGUAGAAUUCCACGUGUAGCAGUGAAAUGCGUAGAUAUGUGGAGGAAUACCGAUGGCGAAGGCAGCCCCCUGGGAUAACACUGACGCUCAUGCACGAAAGCGUGGGGAGCAAACAGGAUUAGAUACCCUCGUAGUCCCUGAGCGGGCUGGCAAGGCGCAU